rnacentral:lncRNA from 1 species
GCUACAAAAUCAAGAGGAAAGAAUGGUUUAGGGGAAACAAGGGAAUUUCGGCAGUAGUAGAGGAAAGAAAAGAUAAGAUAAGCGAGUAAGAAGCAAAGAAAAAAUUCGACAGAGAUGGGGGAGAGAAAACGUCAGAAAGAUGGAGAGAAAAACAACUUUUUUUAAAAAAAAAAAAAAGAAAAAGUGACCAGAUUUUUGAUAUUCUCCCCCAUAAUCCCUU